UCGUAACGGUCGAAUGCGAAGGAAAACAUCUCGGAAAAGUGUUUUCUUUCAAAAUUUCUUUCUUUUGUGAUUUUCUUGCAUAUAUUAGUUCGUUAAAAGUGAUUAUCAUAGAUUUUGAAUACGUUUAUCGAAUAUUCAAUAAAAAUUCGUGCUAAUCGAAAAUCAGCCUCGAGGAUCUUCCAAUUACAUCUUUCAGAUUACAUCUUUCAGAGACGCAUCACGAAAUCUUCAUGAUAAUUCUAUUGCAGAGAUCCGGAUUAUUAUAAGAAGUUGGAUGGAUCGAGAGGGAAAAAAAGAAGAAGGAAUACAAAGAAAAGAGAAGAGCAAAGGAGAGAACAAAGUAAAAAAAAAAAAAAAAAGAAAAAAAGAGAAAAAAAAGAAAAAAGAAGAAAGAUAGAGGAUUCGGAAGGAAGAAGAGAGGAAGAAGGACAAGUGCACGGAGCGUUAUUGCUCGUCGUUUCGAUAUCGACGACGAAGCCCUGUCGACGAAAAGUCGAUUUCUUGUUUCCAUUGCGAAAUGAACGGAGGCGAUGCGACGUCUUCGCGGAAAAUCCUAGGUGCGUUGUCGUCCUCGGGGUUGGAAAGGAUCGGAAGACGGCACUUCCGCGUCGUCGUCGUCGUCUUCGGCGUCGUGGGAGCCGUUAUUCCAUUACACCAGCCGCGUGUCAGACGUCAAAUAAAGGAUAAGUAAAAAAAAAGAAAAAAAAACGAGAGAGAAAAAAGAAAGAAAGUGAAGAAAAAGAAGCAGAAGAAGAAGAAGAAGAAGAAGAAGGGAGGAAAAUAAAAAAUAAAAGAAAAAUGGGAAGGUGGUAUGGUGGUAUGGGGAUGACAAAGGGAAACGUGACAGAGAGAGAUAGAAAGAUGGGCGAAGGUAAAGCGUGUUUAACUGUAGGGAUGAAAAACUAACGUAUAUGUUUUAUAUGUGUAUGAGAGAGAGAGAGAGAGAGAGAGAGAGAGAGAGAGAGAGAGAGAGAGAGAGAGAGAGAGAGAGAGAGAGAGAGAGAGAGAGAGUGACUCAACGACGUGGCACGUGCCUAUUUUCACGUGUCUGAGUUUCUCGAACGCGACGACACGCGAUUUCUUCUCGUUCGAACGAUCAAUCAUAGAAAGUCCGACCGACGACGAUGACGAGGACAACGAGGACGAACGGGAACGAGAACGAGGACGAGAACGAGGACGAGUCUUUAUUCUACUUCUUCGCACGUGAUCUUCCUAGUCAGUAAGCUAAGAAAGGAUAUAGAUCGAUUUAGACUAUCCUACCGAUUCUAUCCUUCUCCUUUUUCUUCUUUUUUUUUAUUUUUAUUUAUUUUUAUUUACUUUUUUGUCUGCUGUUUUUUUUUUAUAAAUGAUACCAAAUUAGACACGGGAUUGAUUUAGAACGAACGAAACUUGAUAAUGAAUUUGAAACUGAGAUGAAAAUCGGUCGAUAAUAAUACGUAGAUAUAAUUACGUGUCUAUAAUUAGAAUAAAUUUUCCUGAGAGAGGGGGAUAUAUUAUUAUUAUUAUUAUUAUUAUUAUUAUUAUUAUUAUUAUUAUUAUUAUUAUUGUAACUGACUUAUUUUAUCCAAUUUUUUAUGCUAAAAUUAGAACAUUCAGGCUGUAUCUACCAUGAAGUUAUUAUUACUCAUUCUGUCUGUCUCUCUCUCUCUCUUUCUCUCUCUCUGCGUUUAAGGAAAAUCGAUAUGGCGACGGAAGACUAUGCAUUCUCGUAUAUAUUAAUAUAAUUAUAAUACGUCUCUCUCUCUCUCUUUCUCUCUCUCUCUCUCUUUAUUUCAAUGUAAUAAAAUCGGUCGUAUGGAUAUUUCGAAAGAGCGUCGCUUUCCUGCUCUCAUAAUUUCUUCCUAGUCGUCAUUCGAUUUUAUACGGAAUUUAAAUUAAUUAUCAUUUUAUUUAAUCUCGAAAAUCUCAAAUAAAAAAUAUACGACGUAUCGAAACGAAUUCGUAUGAAUGUCAUCUUGAUGGUCGUGACCGAUCGAUCAUGACCAUUGAUUGCUUUUAGUCAUGGCGAUAUAUAUCUAUACACGCAUAUAUAUGUAUAUUACAUUAAUGUAAUUAUCAGAAACGUGGUUCUCUCAAUGGGUCGCUAUGCUUAGAGCUUAGACCGUUAGCAACGAAAACGUUCGUCGUUUCUGGUACGUCCUAUGCAAUACGACAGCCACGAACGGCUACAUACUGAACAAGAGAGAGAGAUAGAGAGAUAGAUAGAUAGAUAGAGAUAGAGAGAGAUAGAGAGAGAGAGAGAGAG